rnacentral:rRNA from 1 species
UACGUAGGGGGCAAGCGUUGUCCGGAAUCAUUGGGCAUAAAGAGCGUGUAGGCGGUUCGGUAAGUCGGCUGUGAAAUCCCCGGGCUCAACCCGGGAACUGCGUCCGAUACUGGCAGGCUUGAAUCCGGGAGAGGGAUGUGGAAUUCCAGGUGUAGCGGUGAAAUGCGUAGAUAUCUGGAGGAACACCGGUGGCGAAGGCGGCAUCCUGGACCGGUAUUGACGCUGAGGCGCGAAAGCCAGGGGAGCAAACGGG